AUGAAAUAACAGCAUUGAAAGUUGUAUCGUUUCUUCUAAAAAUCAAAGAUAUGAAAAUCCUUUUCAUUGUUUUGCUGAUUUUCUCAAUUCAUUUAGGAAAUGAAGUGCGAAUGCUAGAGGCAGAUGAUUGUACUAGAAUUAUACCUGGUUAUUGCAAGGAGAAAUGGAAGAGUUUUUUUUGCAGCUUAAAUUGCAUGGGAGAAUGUAAUACAUUUGCUGCAAAUGGUAAAUGUCAUAGCGAAGACAAUGAUUGUCAUUGUAAUUGUUGUUCUUAAAUGGUUAUAACCAUGGAAUAAUACAUUGUGAUAUGGUUAAGGUUUAACUUAAAGAAUAAAAUAUUGUUACUAGUUCUUUCUUCA